rnacentral:tRNA from 1 species
AGCUCGAAAGCUAUUACUUUGAGCGUCAGAUUCUUACUCUGAAGAAGAACAUCUAGAGUUCUCGAGCUA